rnacentral:rRNA from 1 species
CAGUCGCCGCGGUAAUACAGAGGGUGCAAGCGUUAAUCGGAAUUACUGGGCGUAAAGCGUGCGCAGGCGGUUAUAUAAGACAGAUGUGAAAUCCCCGGGCUCAACCUGGGAACUGCAUUUGUGACUGUAUAGCUAGAGUACGGCAGAGGGGGAUGGAAUUCCGCGUGUAGCAGUGAAAUGCGUAGAUAUGCGGAGGAACACCGAUGGCGAAGGCAAUCCCCUGGGCCUGUACUGACGCUCAUGCACGAAAGCGUGGGGAGCAAACAGGAUUAGAUACCCCAGUAGUCCCUGUCUCUUAUAC